AGUGAACGCUGGCGGUAGGCCUAACACAUGCAAGUCGAACGGCAGCACAGUAAGAGCUUGCUCUUACGGGUGGCGAGUGGCGGACGGGUGAGGAAUACAUCGGAAUCUACUUUUUCGUGGGGGAUAACGUAGGGAAACUUACGCUAAUACCGCAUACGACCUACGGGUGAAAGCAGGGGAUCUUCGGACCUUGCGCGAUUGAAUGAGCCGAUGUCGGAUUAGCUAGUUGGCGGGGUAAAGGCCCACCAAGGCGACGAUCCGUAGCUGGUCUCAGAGGAUGAUCAGCCACACUGGAACUGAGCCACGGUCCAGACUCCUACGGGAGGCAGCAGUGGGGAAUAUUGGACAAUGGGCGCAAGCCUGAUCCAGCCAUACCGCGUGGGUGAAGAAGGCCUUCGGGUUGUAAAGCCCUUUUGUUGGGAAAGAAAAGCAGCAGGUUAAUACCCCGCUGUUCUGACGGUACCCAAAGAAUAAGCACCGGCUAACUUCGUG
rnacentral:rRNA from 1 species